rnacentral:rRNA from 1 species
UACGAGGGGGGCGAGCGUUGUUCGGAAUUAUUGGGCGUAAAGGGUGCGUAGGCGGUUUGGUAAGUCAGUGGUGAAAUCUCCGGGCUUAACCCGGAAACUGCCGUUGAUACUAUAUAUCUUGAAUGCUGUGGAGGUAAGCAGAAUAUGUCAUGUAGCGGUGAAAUGCUUAGAUAUGACAUAGAACACCAAUUGCGAAGGCAGCUUGCUACACAACUAUUGACUCUGAUGCACGAAAGCGUGGGGAUCAAACAGG